rnacentral:misc_RNA from 1 species
AAGUCGUAACAAGGUUUCCGUAGGUGAACCUGCGGAAGGAUCAUUAACACGUGAAUUAAAAACACACGUAUUAACACAACAACUUAUAAAUCCACCGAGAAAUAGUUAUCUAUCCUACUGUUGGAUGCAGGUAGAGGGAAUGACAAUAUACUAUCAGCCGCCCUUCGAAAGAUUGUACGCUGAGACUCACCCCUCGUUCUUAGAUCCGCCCUGGAACUUGCACCGGCAACUAGUUGACAACUGCGGCAACCGCUUAUUAAGCCUGUAGUAUAGCUUGCGGAUUCGAUCACCGUGACCUUAUUAACCCCUUAUUUACUAUUAUUUACUGAUUUUGUAUGUUUAUAUGAAUUCCUGACUUCGGUUAGUUGUAGUUUAUAUAGAUGUCGUAUAUUACUAAUACGAAACAACUCUUAGCAACGGAUAUCUUGGUUCUC